rnacentral:lncRNA from 1 species
UGUGCGUAUGUAUGUAAGUAAUAUCGAUGAGAAUCACAGUAGCAGCAGAAGCAUAGCUUCAGGAGCAGGAACAACAACUACAGCUCCAACAAAUAGUUCAAGGUCGAUGCGUAAACGCACACACACACACACACACACACACACAGGCAGAUAAAUAUUCAUGUGCAUACAUCUGCAAAGUAUUGCGUUGUAAAUUUCCAGAAAUUUAGUUGACUUUUGGAAGUUGGUGGACUCGAUAGCAGGCCUACAUACAUAUGUAUUCAAUUUAAUUUAACCGGAAAUGAAUUCGUUUAUGUUUUCUUACGUCUUAAAUUAGUCAGUAUUCGGAGUGUAGAAAUUCGAGGCAGUGCUAGUUUUGUGUUUUCCCGCGAUAUAUGUCUACUACUUAUAGGCGCAUUGGCAUACUCAGGUGGCGUUAGUACUGGUUGCAGCAACAUCUAUUUCACAGGCAAUGGUGAUUUAGUGGCCGGCUCGGCGACUGCUGAAGAGUUGGCACUCAGCGCCGCAGGUGUACAAAGUGUCAAUCGUGCACCAUCCACAUUUUGGCAAUAUCAAAAUGCUCUACCUAUCGAAUCAGUGAUUUCCAUGUCUCCAGCCACAGUGGGUUUGCAGUAUUCGCGCGAUGCAAGUCGCGGUCAAGUGGUGCUUCUGCCGGCUACACCAGCCGCUUUAGGUAGGUUUUUGUUCAUAAUUUUUUGGUGCAUACAUAUGGAUACACAUACAUAUGUAUGUUAUAUAUGGCUCAGUUCAUGUCGUCAAAUCGACAAAUCCUUUAGAUCAUUUUUGAAUUGGAUGAAUUCUAGUCAGAACGUUUUAUCAUACAUAUAAAAAAGUUCUGCCAAAGAAACAAAUGCAAGUU